UACGUAGGGCGCAAGCGUUGUCCGGAAUUAUUGGGCGUAAAGAGCUCGUAGGCGGUCUGUUGCGUCCGCUGUGAAAACUCGGGGCUUAACCCCGAGCCUGCAGUGGAUACGGGCAGACUAGAGGUAGGUAGGGGAGAAUGGAAUUCCCGGUGUAGCGGUGAAAUGCGCAGAUAUCGGGAGGAACACCGGUGGCGAAGGCGGCGACCUGGGGCAAUACUGACGCUGAGGUGCGAAAGCGUGGGGAGCAAACAGG
rnacentral:rRNA from 1 species